GCCCGGUUAGCUCAGUUGGUUAGAGUACUUCCUUGACAUGGAAGGGGUCGGAAGUUCAAGUCUUCUGCCGGGCA
rnacentral:tRNA from 2 species